UGGGGAAUUUUGGACAAUGGGCGAAAGCCUGAUCCAGCCAUGCCGCGUGAGUGAAGAAGGCCUUCGGGUUGUAAAGCUCUUUUAGUCGGAAAGGAAGAGUUGCAAUGAAUAAUUGUGAUUUAUGACGGUACCGACAGAAAAAGCACCGGCUAACUACGUGCCAGCAGCCGCGGUAAUACGUAGGGUGCGAGCGUUAAUCGGAAUUACUGGGCGUAAAGGGUGCGCAGGCGGUCUUGCAAGUCAGAUGUGAAAGCCCCGGGCUUAACCUGGGAAUUGCGUUUGAAACUACAAGGCUAGAGUGCAGCAGAGGGGAGUGGAAUUCCAUGUGUAGCAGUGAAAUGCGUAGAGAUGUGGAAGAACACCGAUGGCGAAGGCAGCUCCCUGGGUUGACACUGACGCUCAUGCACGAAAGCGUGGGGAGCAAACA
rnacentral:rRNA from 2 species